rnacentral:rRNA from 2 species
UACGAGGGGUCCUAGCGUUGUUCGGAAUCAUUGGGCGUAAAGAGCUCGUAGGUGGCUUAGUAAGUCAGGUGUGAAAGCCCAGGGCUCAACCCUGGAAGUGCACUUGAAACUGCAUAGCUUGAGUACGGUAGAGGUAAGUGGAAUUCCUGGUGUAGUGGUGAAAUACGUAGAUAUCAGGAGGAACAUCGGUGGCGAAGGCGGCUUACUGGACCAGUACUGACACUGAGGAGCGAAAGCAUGGGGAUCAAACAGG